CACUAAACAGCUAGCUUAAACAACCAUAA
rnacentral:rRNA from 1 species